rnacentral:lncRNA from 1 species
UUUAAAAACACACAAUGAGAAACUAAAAGCAAACACAAACCUCAACACUAAAUUCUAGCGAAACUCACCAAAGAUUCUAUAACCUGUACCUCCAAAAGAAUAAUGUGCAAUCGGACCUCAAAAGUCAAAACCCAUAUCUAAAACCCUGAAUCCACUAACCGCCGCCAUCACCGCCACUGCCACUGCCACUGCCACUGCCACCGCCAUCUAUAAGCUCUUUCAGAACUACAGAUGAGAUGACUGACUUUACGAGUGAAUUCAACAAAUCCCAUGUAUUAUAUCCAUUCGUUCUACAUAAGUCUAUGCGGUCGUAUACCCUUUCCAAAGUGAGGUUGCAUUAAUCGAACAUAUAAACCAUUUUUCGCCAUUAAAGAGUCGUGGGUCCCGUCUUCAACAAUCCGACCCCCGUUUAAGACAACAAUGUUUAUCAAGGGCCUCUUGAACCACCCGACUUGACUCUGACUCAAUCGAUGAGCUGGCUUCGUCUAAUAAUAAGAUUGGUGCGUUCUUCAACACAACCCGAGCGAUUGCAAUCCUCUGUUUCUGACCCGGGGUUAGAUCCACGCCCCUCAUUCCCACAUGGGUAUCGUACCCGUGGGGUAAGUUGCUGAUGAAAUGAUGAGCAUUUGCUAUUCUUGCAGCUUCUUUAAUUUCCGCCUCGCUGGCGUUAUGUCUUGCGUAU